UGAGUUUGAUCCUGGCUCAGAACGAACGCUGGCGGCAGGCCUAACACAUGCAAGUCGAACGAGAACCGGGGCUUCGGCCCCGCGGAAAGUGGCGGACGGGUGAGUAACACGUGGGAAUCUGCCCAGCAGUACGGAAUAACCUCGGGAAACCGGUGCUAAUACCGUAUACGCCCUUCGGGGGAAAGAUUUAUCGCUGCUGGAUGAGCCCGCGCCCGAUUAGCUAGUUGGUAGGGUAAAAGCCUACCAAGGCGACGAUCGGUAGCUGGUCUGAGAGGAUGAUCAGCCACACUGGGACUGAGACACGGCCCAGACUCCUACGGGAGGCAGCAGUGGGGAAUAUUGGACAAUGGGGGAAACCCUGAUCCAGCCAUGCCGCGUGAGUGAAGAAGGCCCUAGGGUUGUAAAGCUCUUUCACCAAGGACGAUGAUGACGGUACUUGGACAAGAAGCCCCGGCUAACUCCGUGCCAGCAGCCGCGGUAAUACGGAGGGGGCUAGCGUCGUUCGGAAUUACUGGGCGUAAAGCGCGCGUAGGCGGUAAUCCAAGUCAGGCGUGAAAGCCCCAGGCUC
rnacentral:rRNA from 1 species